GGGGAUUUGGCUCAGUGGUAGAGCGCUUGCCUAGGAAGCGCAAGGUCCUGGGUUCAAUCCCCAGCCCCG
rfam:Rattus norvegicus chromosome 1, whole genome shotgun sequence.